AGACAAGAUUAAAGAAGCAAUAACUGAUGCUAAUAAAGCCGUGGAGUUAGACCCUUCAAAUCCUGAUGUGUACUGUAUCAGAGCUCUUGUUUGGGGUUCAGCAAAAGAAAAGAGAAGAGCCCUUACUGAUUUAAACAAUAGUUUGAGGCUGCAUUCAUCACAUAUUUGCACUUUGAUCUUAAGGGGAGCUAUUAUAAACUCUCUUGGGGCUGUGACUUCUAUGCACAAUAAAGACCACAGAAAGGCUUUUAGUCUCUGCCCGGAUAGUCAGAAAUUCUUUGAUGUGCAAGAUUUUAAUAGU